CUUCUUCGAAUCUUUUGCACAUAGCAACCUCAUCAGCUACACACUCCCGGGCAUACCUACUGAGUCUUACGAAUUCAUGUUCGUAUUCAGAUACUGUCAUACGGCCUUGCUUGAGUUCCAAGAAUUCCUUACGCUUUUGAUCAAUGAACCGUUGACUAAUAUAUUUCUUUCGAAAUUCCGUUUGAAAGAAGUCCCAAGUUACUCGUUCGUUUGGGACUAUGGAAAUCAGGGUCCUCCACCAAUAGUAGGCUGAGUCUCGCAACAAGGAUAUAGCACACUUUAGACAUUCAUCGGGCGUGCAUGACAGUUCAUCAAACACCCGAAUGGUGUUAUCAAGCCAGAACUCGGCCCUUUCAACAUCAUCAGUAACUAUGGCCCUGAACUCCUCGGCCCCGCGCUUCCUAAUCAAGUCUACAGGUGG
rnacentral:lncRNA from 1 species